UACGUAGGAGGCGAGCGUCGUCCGGAUUCACUGGGCGUAAAGGGUGCGUAGGCGGUCGGGUAAGUCUGACGUGAAAUCUCCGGGCCUAACCCGGAAACUGCGUUGGAAACUGCCUGGCUAGAGGAAUGGAGGGGAGACUGGAAUACUUGGUGUAGCAGUGAAAUGCGUAGAUAUCAAGUGGAACACCAGUGGCGAAGGCGAGUCUCUGGACAUUUCCUGACGCUGAGGCACGAAAGCCAGGGGAGCAAACGGG
rnacentral:rRNA from 1 species